rnacentral:lncRNA from 1 species
CCAAAUUAAAAGCCAGUAUCCUUGUGUAAUCCAACCAUUAAUAAUUAUUCAUUAAUAUUUUUCUUGUUAAUGGAGUUAACAGAUCAAUAGCCAAGAUAAUUUUUUCCUUGAUAUUGCACUUAAAAUUGGGAACAAUUUAUUGUGAAGGAGAGGGGAGAAGAAACACGGGUUCAUCAACCUCUUUGCACCAUUUUUAUCUUUUAUUGCUUUGAUUUCUACGGGGAAAAUCCAUCUUCUUAUCACCAACUUGGAAGGUAAUAUCAGAUUUGUUUGUGUAAUGUUGAUUUUGCGCUGGGUUCGAUUGUUGUGAAUGAUUUAACUUCAACCCAGCCGCGAUCUACAGCCCGGAUGGAUCCGACCCUGGGAAUCGGCGUUGAACUUUGCUGUAAUUUGAGUAUUUGACUGAUUUUUUUGCUUUUUGUUAUAGUUUCUACGGUUUCUAUAUUUUUUUCUUCGGUCAAUUUCGUGCUGCCAUAUAAAAUAGCCAAAAUUUCCAGCUGCAGAGCGAAUCAAUUCACUGUGAAAGGGAGCUUUGUCAGUUCAAUCUAAUAUGCAUCGAUAAUACCUUUGAUCCAAUUUUUAAGGUUUACGAUUUUGAAUUGUAUUGCUUGUUCUAUGUUUUUUGAACUGUUUCACACAUUUAUAUAUAUUGUUUAGGAUUAUAAAUGUAUUUUGAUAUUUAUGUAUUGGCCUUCAAUAUUUGGUAUANNNN